GCUUACAACCAUACCACUCGCACACCGCCCGAUCUCAUCUGAUCUCUUAAGCUAAGCAGAGUCGGACCUGGAUAGUACUUGGAUGGGAGACUGCCUGGGAGUACCAGGUGCUGUGAGCU
rnacentral:rRNA from 1 species